UGGGUUGCCUCCCAACAAGCACUCUUUUAACGUCAUUAGCUUGACCCGGUAAAGCCCAAACACCCAUCAGUAGGUGUUGAAAUUUUAUGUUGAUGUUCCUCCUUCCUUCAUGACACCAACAACAUCUCGAAAAUUUCCUUUGUUACCAACUGUAAGAGCUCUGUUUGCAUUAAUAGUCUUGACAAUCCAUAACCUAAUUUUGAAUUUCAUUGAUGUGCUAGGUUAGGGUUUGUCACUUUUCACAUCAGGGUGUUGGAGAGUCAAUUCUCCUUCCUUAUCUGCCUCCUGAUGAUCUUGUGCUCCUAGUACCAAAAAUUUUAUCCUGCAUACAAUAAAGAACACUGCACUAGAGCACAGAAUUAGCCCCAAAAAAAAAUAAAACAAAAAUAACAAAUAAAAAUAAAAAAAUAAAAAUAGUAAAAGAUAAAUUUUAUUUUUAUUUAUAUUUGUUUUUUUUCGUUUUUUUUUAAAAAAGAUAAAGAAAG
rnacentral:lncRNA from 1 species